GUUGUUGCCACGGUAAUCCUGCUCAGUAGGAGAGGAACCGCAGGCUCAGAUAUUUGGUGGAUGUGCUUGGCUGAGGAGCCAAUGGGGCGAAGCUACCGUCUGUGGGAUUAUGACUGAACGCCUCUACGUCAGAAUCCCGCCCAGGCGGAACAAU
rnacentral:ncRNA from 1 species